CUCGUGUCCAAUUAGAGUGUUUUUGACGUUGUUGUCAAUAUAGUAGUGCAAUGGCCCGUACGCUACCAUCUUGUCGUCGACUGCGGGUUUCAUCCUAAUGGCAAUUUAUGAAACCGAAGCAGCAUCAACACAAAAACGAGAAAAGCGACAACUGCGUUUUCUUCCACUUUUUCCCGUCCCACCUCUAUUAUUUCCAUUUCCUUUUCUCAAUAUAUCGAAUAUUUUUCCAAACCUACCAACCCUUCCACCAUUAUUGUGAACAAUAUAAGCAUCACAUAUCUUCACCUUUUUCUAAAAUGUUUUAAAAAAUAAUAAACAUUUUUCAACGUUA